rnacentral:rRNA from 1 species
CUACGGGGUGCACCAGUGGGGAAUAUUGGGCAAUGGGUGCAAGCCUGACCCAGCAACGCCGCGUGAGGGAAGAAGGUUUUCGGAUUGUAAACCUCUGUCCUUGGGGACGAAGAAGUGAAGGUACCCAAGGAGGAAGCUCCGGCUAACUACGUGCCAGCAGCCGCGGUAAUACGUAGGGAGCAAGCGUUGUCCGGAAUUACUGGGCGUAAAGGGUGCGUAGGCGGCAUAUUAAGUCAGGUGUGAAAUACUCGGGCUCAACCCGAGGGGUGCAUUUGAAACUGAUAAGCUUGAGUGUGAGAGAGGAAAGUGGAAUUCCUAGUGUAGCGGUGGAAUGCGUAGAUAUUAGGAGGAACACCAGUGGCGAAGGCGACUUUCUGGCUCAUAACUGACGCUGAGGCACGAAAGCGUGGGGAGCAAACAGGAUUAGAUACCCGAGUAGUC